rnacentral:lncRNA from 1 species
AACAGAUUUGAGAGCCCUGAGUAGAGUAGUCCACCACAGCCUGGAGUUCCUUUACCUAAGGUAACCAAUGAAGACUGGCAAAUAGCUUGUAGCAACAGUAAAUAUCCUAAAAACAAGACUCUUCAGUUUAUAAAAAGAACUAAUUGGGUUCUCCCACAUAUUAUAAAAGGAAUACCAAUUCCUGAAGCACCUACAUUUUAUACUGAUGCAACUUGGACAGCAUACAGUCAGCAGUUUGAAGCAAGGCCAGUUUCUUGCCUGGUGGCAGCUUGCCACAUUUGAAGCAAACUCCACAAGGAUGUUCUUCAAUGUUCAUUAUCUUCUUUGAAAUUGUAUGGGGGUGCUGCCAGAAUGUGACAUGUCUCAUUGUCAAAAAAAAAAAAAAAAGUCUUAAGCUAAUAAAACAUCUUUAAAUGCCAUCUAUCUCAGUGUAUUUGAAUAGGGAAACGUUGCUUGUCUCUAGUUUACUCUCUGAUUAACUUUGAAAACAUCCAUGAUUAACUAAACUAAUAUCUAACAAAACU